rnacentral:rRNA from 1 species
AGGGUGUAAACGCUGCGGGCUUGGUGUUGGGGUCCUUUGAGGGCGCCCAGUGCCGGAGAGAAGUUGUUAAGCCUGCUGCUUGGGGAGUACGUCCGCAAGGAUGAAACUUAAAGGAAUUGGCGGGGGAGCACCGCAACGGGAGGAGCGUGCGGUUCAAUUGGAUUCAACGCCGGGAAUCUCACCGGAUAAGACAGCUGAAUGAUAGUCGGGAUGAAGACUCUACUUGACUAGCUGAGAGGAGGUGCAUGGCGUAGUCGUGU